rnacentral:rRNA from 1 species
UACGUAGGUGGCAAGCGUUAUCCGGAUUUAUUGGGCGUAAAGGGAACGCAGGCGGUCUUUUAAGUCUGAUGUGAAAGCCUUCGGCUUAACCGGAGUAGUGCAUUGGAAACUGGGAGACUUGAGUGCAGAAGAGGAGAGUGGAACUCCAUGUGUAGCGGUGAAAUGCGUAGAUAUUAGGAGGAACACCAGUUGCGAAGGCGGCUCUCUGGACUGUAACUGACACUGAGGCACGAAAGCGUGGGGAGCAAACAGG